GAUGAACGCUGGCGGUAUGCUUAACACAUGCAAGUCGAACGGACUCUUCGGAGUUAGUGGCGGACGGGUGAGUAACGCGUGAGAAUCUGGCCUUGGGUUCGGGACAACCACUGGAAACGGUGGCUAAUACCGGAUGUGCCGAGAGGUAAAAGAGAAAUUGCCUGCAGAUGAGCUCGCGUCUGAUUAGCUAGUUGGUGAGGUAAAGGCUCACCAAGGCAGCGAUCAGUAGCUGGUCUGAGAGGAUGACCAGCCACACGGGGACUGAGACACGGCCCAGACUCCUGCGAGAGGCAGCAGUGGGGAAUUGUCCGCAAGGGGGGAGAGCCUGACGGAGCAAUACCGCGUGAGGGAAGAAGGCUCUUGGGUUGUAAACCUCUUGUCUUAGGGAAGAACAAAAUGACGGUACCUAAGAAAUCAGCAUCGGCUAACUCCGUG
rnacentral:rRNA from 1 species